rnacentral:lncRNA from 1 species
UUAUCUGAGCUCACACAUGACAAAAUUGAGAUUUGAGAACCCAUCUCGGGAGACAGUAAAGUCCCAUCAUUCUCUUAACAUUAGUAAGCAGGUGGCAACAAUACCCCUCCUUACUUAUCCCAAACAAUAGCUGUCUUUGUGGUGCUCUAGAUGUCACGGAAAAUCUCACAUGCCUUUUGCGUGAAUAGAAAUGGACUAGAACCUCAGGCUCCGACACCUCUCAUUUCUGCAUUAAACUUUGAAGACAUCGUCUUCAUCAUCACUUCAGCAUGCCGGAUAAAAGCAACAUCAAAAAAGCCCCCUGUCACGUUGCAUUUGCCCCAGGGGAAAAACCCAAGUGGCCAAACAUGUAAUUUUGUGGUUUUCCACAUGACCACGGUUUGCUUUGUUUUUCUCCUUUGCUGGUGUUCUGGCACCUAAGCACUUCGGAGAUUUGUGAGACAACAAGAGUCGUAUUGUGCAGAUGCAAAAGGACUGGAAACGAACCAGUGAUAACGUGUUUCUGCUGGGACUGGAAGCAAGCAACCACCCAGAGACCCCAAAGCAGCACUUCUGUUGUUCGGCUAAAGGAGGCCGCCCCAAAACUAGACCCACCGUUUUAUCCACAAUCUACUGAAAUAGCACAGCGUCGCUCUGGACUACUCAGCUGUGUUUUUUAUUUGUUACAGGCUAUAAACCUGAACACCUCAGCAACACCUCAGCACUUUGGAUUAGGCAUCAUGGCUCUGCUUGUUACCGCUUGAACCUUUCUUUAACUUCAAUGGCAAAGAAAGGGAAAAGCGGUUGGGCUGGUCCCCUGCUCAUGUGGUCAGACUAGCUCAACCGGUAAUUGAAGAGAUAUGCCUUUCCUCUGAAAGGGCAAGGUGGGUUCCCCCCCACGCACACAUUUUCCUUCGCUUACUGAACAAACACUAGAUCAGUUCGGCAGAGGUAAACCUUGCGCAGUGCAAGGCUCGAGACCGGAGGGGCCAGGGCUUUCCAGCCUGGAGAAGGGUGACUGGGGGGACCGACAAAACAGCCACGGCGUGGGGAGAGCGGACUGCGGUUUCAUAUUUGCCGCCUCUCGCAGGGCCGGCCACGCUCGGGAAGCGGGUUUAAAACCAGCAAAAGGAGGUUUUCUUCCACACAGCGUCUGGUUUGCGGUGCGGAUGGUUGCCAGAUGUUAGUGGGGACAUAACCACAUCGAGACAAGAAUAGCCCUGGGGUGUUCAGCCCCAGAUCUGGCCACCCUGCCUGUGCUGCCAGAUGUCCAGACCUGUGGGGCCCGAUCCUGAUGCGCGGGGCUGGGCUGAGGAGGGAUGGGAGCGAGGCUUCGGGGCCUGACUCUUUUCUGUGCGCCAGGUGGGGCUCCAGGGCCCGAUCCUGGUAUGAGGGGCGGGGCCCUUGGGCCCUAUCCUGAUACGUUGGCCAGGGCAGGGCC